rnacentral:SRP_RNA from 1 species
GGGUAAGUCUUAUGCGACUAGCUCCCCGUGAAACUCCCCAGGGUCGGAAGGCAGCAAGGAUAUCGGGUUGUAGCAGUGCGACAUAAGUAGCUUGCCCACU